UACGUAGGGGGCUAGCGUUGUCCGGAAUCAUUGGGCGUAAAGCGCGCGUAGGCGGUCAGGAAAGUCCGGUGUGAAAGUCAUAGGCUCAACCUAUGGAUGCCGCUGGAAACUGCCUGACUUGAGUCCGGAAGGGGCGAGUGGAAUUCCUGGUGUAGCGGUGAAAUGCGCAGAUAUCAGGAGGAACACCAAUGGCGAAGGCAGCUCGCUGGAACGGUACUGACGCUGAUGCGCGAAAGCGUGGGGAGCAAACGGG
rnacentral:rRNA from 1 species